rnacentral:lncRNA from 1 species
CUGGACGUCCUCCUGGGAUAUUCAGGGCUGUGAAGCUCACAAUUGUUUGGCUGCCUGGGAAUGUGUGCCUUCCAGCCACUCUCAGGCACAUCAUCACUGAAUGAUGCCUUUGGGUCCUUGAACGGAAGUGGUCUGUCUUUCAGCUCUGAUCAAUCACGCCUGUUUAUUAGGCAAGGUGAUUAAAGUGGUGGCGAACAUAGAAGAAGAAUUCUCCAGAUGAUGCAACAGGGUAAAGGACACAUGAGACAUCAAAGAAACAAUUCCUAGAUGAUAUGUCAGACACGAUUGCCUUUGAAAGAGCAAGAUGUACAUGGAAGAACCCAAAGGCCACACUUUUGAAAAGGAAAAACAAGAAUAAGCCCUGUUGCUCUUUAAGGAGAAAGGAAGGAACAGAAGGCUGCUGGGGCCUUUCUCACGUGGCCUGUGUUCUGUAAAGCAACUUCCCAGCAGCAGCAUGGCACUGUUCUAGCUAUGAGCAGGCACUCAUGUUGCCGUGAACUACGCACUGAGUACUGGGAUGUUGGAUAUUGUGUGGACACUUGAGGAAGAAUGAAGAAUUUAGCCAUGAUGAAUUUAUACUAAGAUGCAGAUGGAGUUAUUGCCAUGGUGUUAGGACAAGCUGAUUGUGUUAAAGCAUGUGACACACCUAAUUUCAGAAACCAGAGGGGAAAUCGCCGCUCAUUAAAGUUCAAGCUUGCAUCCCUUUGGUCUCCUCCAACUAGAGCCAUGAUAUGAUGGUCCUGCCCAGGUCAUGUAAGUGAGAGUCUGCCAGGUGGGGUCCUGGAAACCUUUUUCUCUCUUGAUAAAGAGAGACUCCACUGAUGUCCUUUCAUGUUUUGCCCAUCCUUCUUUAUGCAUGGAAGCCUGGACGCGAAUCAGCCUUCAAGUCUCUAAGGUCACAGCUGUGAUGGACAUGGAACAAGGUGCUAUGGGUUGAGGGACAGAUGCAGAGAGAGCACAGGACCCCAGAGGCAUCAUUUUCACCAGCUCUUGGCUACCUGCCUCCUGACUUCUUGGUAUAUGAGAAAAACAAACUCUCAUUGUUCAAGUUAUUACUUUCUCCUUGCCGUAUUUUUCUCAUCCAAAUACAAAACUACCUGAGGCUAUUAUAGACUUGUAAUUUCUCCCACCCAUGGAAAAAUGUGAUGAUUGUUAAAUCUUUAGAAAUAAUGAAUAAUGGUAAAAAGAAGUCAUCCAAGUUUUAGCAUCCAUUAUGACAAAAAAAUCAGAAUAUGUGUUGCUGUUCUAAGAAAUUUAGUAUUAAGAGAGCCAUAUGUUUAUGCCUAUGUUUAAAAACAUAGGGAUUAAAAUUAGUCUUACUUUCAUAAGGCAGCCAUUGGCACCUGAUUUCUGAUGAAACCACUGGUUAUUUGCUGUACCAGGUUAAAACAAAUUACUUUUAUUUGUAUAUUAUAUAUAUAUAUAUAUAACAUCAGGACUGCUUGUGAAUUGCCAUCUGUAAUGAAAUUUUAUUCUAUGUAAAUGAUAUCUAAUUAUUAAGAAGAAUUGUUGUCAAGAUAAAUGAGUAAAUAAAGCUGUCUAUGAUCUUAAAUUUUGAGAAAUAUACUUAAUCUGAGUUUCUAUUACUUUCAAUUAUGUCAGUGAAAAAUAACUCUAAAAUGUUAUAUUCCGGGAUGAUUUC